rnacentral:tRNA from 1 species
GGUAGUUUAGCUUAAUGGUAAAGCACUGUGACUGGUAAUCACAGGAAUGUGAGUUUGAGUCUCAUGGCUGGCC